AACGAACGCUGGCGGCAGGCUUAACACAUGCAAGUCGAACGCCCCGCAAGGGGAGUGGCAGACGGGUGAGUAACGCGUGGGAAUCUACCCAGAUCUACGGAACAACAGUUGGAAACGACUGCUAAUACCGUAUACGCCCUACGGGGGAAAGAUUUAUCGGAUUUGGAUGAGCCCGCGUUGGAUUAGCUAGUUGGUGGGGUAAUGGCCUACCAAGGCGACGAUCCAUAGCUGGUCUGAGAGGAUGAUCAGCCACACUGGGACUGAGACACGGCUCAGACUCCUACGGGAGGCAGCAGUGGGGAAUAUUGGACAAUGGGCGCAAGCCUGAUCCAGCCAUGCCGCGUGAGUGAUGAAGGCCUUAGGGUUGUAAAGCUCUUUCGCUGGGGUAGAUAAUGACUGUACCCAGUAAAGAAGCCCCGGCUAACUCCGUGCCAGCCGCCGCCGUAACAC
rnacentral:rRNA from 1 species